UUAAUUGCUGGUUUAAUGGCUUCCAACGUUCUUUCAGUAUGGCUUUAACUAAGCUAUUUUCUUAGAAUAUUAAUCUGAAAUGUGAUCAUAGGCAGCAUGUAGCUCUUUAUUCGUUGCUGCCUGUGGAUUUCAAAUGUGAUUUAUCCAGGACCUGCAGGGUUGUCCGCAAGCUUGUGCUACCUGUCCUUUUUUUUUUUUUUUAAAGGGCAACCCCUUGCACAAAGCAUCCCCCAUUAGCAGGGUCCGGAGAAGGGCUGCCGCAUAAUUUAUUUUGAAAUAGGUAGCUUCCCGAAUGAUUUAAGCUUUUCAAAGAUUGUUUUGAGAUGGAAAAAAAAUCAUUUUACAUUGUUCAGUAGAAGUACUUCUAAUGCACUCAACACAGCAAGGUAGCCCUAGAAUUUCUAAUGGUUCUUUUCAUCUUUGAAACUGUGAAGAACAAGAAUCCUCUAAUUUGCUUGUAAGUGAUAUAUGAUUUAAAAUUACCUGGUUUAAUGUUGAAAAGAAACAUUUUAGAUUGAGGAGGGGUUAGAGGAAAUUGAAUGCUUCGAGAGUUCAUUGGUACUUUGAAUGUCAAAAGUUUGAAGCACUCUAGCUCCACAUAUGAACACAACUGCAAAAAUUCUCAUAUCUAAAAGUCUUCUAUGUAGAUUUUGUUACUUGACCAGAUUGGAAAUGGAAUCAUAAAUGUUCAUAGAAGAUUUCAUUAAUUUGCUCUUGUUGAUCAAAUUCAUAGAAGAUAUAUGGUUAAAUGUUUAGGAGGUUUAUAUUUUAAGUUGAGAACGUUAGGUGCACCUAAGGGUGCUAUUAAUUUGAAGAAUGGAUAAUUCAUACUUUUGUGCUAGGUCACUUCUUUAAACAAGUUAUUGAUGAAUUUAUGCUGAGAGUUAUGAGUUUGACAUGGCCACCAUGUUACUAGCUACCUGAUAAGUCACUUAAGUUUUAAUUCAUGACCUGAUUUCUGGACUUGUUUUAGAUGUUUUUGCUUUUUCUCAAGUGAUAAUGGGCAAUAUAUAUGGAUGAUAGACAACAAGUCAUAUUUUGUGGUACUGGGAGUUGUUCAUUCAGUCCGACAAGGUUAAUAGAUUUAAGAUUCGUUUAUAUUAUUGUUCUUCCUACUUCCUAUUGAUGAAUGUUCUUUGUGAGUGUCCUUUUUCCAUGUUAGCUUGACCAAUAACCACUAAAAAUCAACAACAAAAAACCUCGGUGCUCUUGCCAGCCCCUGGGGAUUUCUCUGUUGUAUAUAAAAAACUUUUUUUCUUCAUAUUUUGUAUUUGGUUCAUGUUCAUGCAUUAUGUAUAAAAAAAAUCACCUCUUUCCUUUGGUGAAACGAGGGUAAUAAGUGGUAAAUUUGCUAGUGAACGCACAACAAAAGUACAAAUGGGGAAAGCUAAGCAGAGGCCAGAUCUUUAGUGCCAUUCUGGAUUGUUUUGGCACAAAUUGACCUGGAUACUGGUGAUGCUGCUAGUUUAGCUUUGAUGUGGAGCAACCCCUUGAGGUCAAAAAGAGAGUGUAGGAAGGUUGUAAGCUGUCCUCUCCAUCACCUCAAAGUGCUCAGGUUGCGCGGAUAUUAUGGCCGCACUAGUGAACUCGAACUCGUUAGGUAUUUUUUGGAAAAUGCCAAUGUGCUUGAGAUAAUCAUUGUUGAUCCUCGUGAUCGACAUAAUUUUCGUGUCCUGUUGGAACGAAAAGAUAAAAAGGAGGAGCAAAUCGCAAGAAAUUUCGCUAAGCUCCAGCUUGAAAGUGAAGUACCUCCGCAUAUUGAGUUGGUGAUACUUUGAAAGUAAGUUAUUUGCGGAAAUAAUAUAUGUUAGUUUUCAGUUAUUUGGACCUAUCCGCUUAAAAUAACGAGUGUAUUUCUUGUGGAGCUUUAUGUAUGAUCUAAUUUAUAUAUCGACAUUUACUUAUUUCUUGUUUAUUUACCCUUCAAUUCCUUGAUAGUAAUAUUUACUUCAACGCUCAAAAUUUAGAAGUUACUUUUGUAAUUAGUCUUUUUGUCUUUAUACAUCAUGUUCUCCUAUUUUUGACUAAGCACAGUGGAUGUGCGCAUCCUGAGCACCAUUUGGACAGUUGAAAAUUAAUUGCUGGUUAAUGGCUUCCAACAUUCUUUCAAUAUGACUUACCUGACCGAAGCUUUCUCUUAGAAUAUUAGCAUUAAAAGUGAUCAUAGGCAGCAUGUAACUCUUUAUUAUUUGUGCCUUUGGAUCUCAUCUAGAUUUAUCCAGGACCUGUAAAGUUAUCUAAAAGCUCGAUCUUCCUGCUGUUUUAUCUUGAAAUAGGUAGCUUCCCAAAAGGUUUAAGUUUCUCUAAGUUUGUUUCGACACCAAAGAAAAUAGUGUUCCAUUGUUCAGUACAAGUACUUCUAAUGCACUCAAAGUAGAAUGCUUUGAGAGCUCAUUGGAACUAAUCCUCAAGUUUCUGAACAGCUGCAAUUUUUUUGUUGUUUGAAGUUUGAACCAAUUUGAAAUGGAAUUACAAAAUGUUCAUAGCAGUUUUCUUUGCCUGCCAUGAUCAAACUAACAAAACGUUUAUAUUUUUAAGAUAUGAAUGUUUGGAGGUCUGCCUCUGCUAUUUGAGGAAUGUUUAAUUUAUUACUUUAGUGCUCUUUAAGCAAGUUACUUAUAAAUUUAUGCUGAGAGUUAACCAACAAGGUCGUUCUAGUAUAGUGGUAAGUAUUCCCCCCGUCACGCGGGUGACAAUGUUCGAUCCUGGCAACAACAUUACAUAUUUUUCGUUAUUUCGUCUCCGUAAUGCUUUGAUAUGGUUUUUCUUAAAUUUAAUGGCUUGUUUUAGCAGUUUUUCUCUAAAUGGACAACCACAGCAAUGAUUGGAAAAUGUUGAAAUUUUCAACUUUGAGAUGUUAGAUUAUGUGGUACUGGAAAUGUUUCAUCCACUCAAACAGGGUUAAUGAGCAAUUUUACAUUAAAUAUGGUUUGAUCCGCACCCAACCCGUUUUUACCAUAUAUUAAUGGAUUCUAAGUAGUUAAAUGAUAUAGGUGUCAAAAGCAGAGGCGGAUCCAGGAUUUGAAACUUAUGGGUUCCCAGCUAGCAGUGUCUAUUGUUCUUGUGGGUUCUCAGCUCAAAUUUCUUAUAUAUUUGAAGGGUUUCACAUUAUAAAUACAAGGUUCGGAUAAAAGUUGUGGGUUCCCGUGAACCCACACCCAAUGGUGUGGAUCCGCCCCUGGUCAAAAGUGCGUAUACAGUCUAGGUUCAUGUAAUCAUCCAACUUAUUUUGAGGUUUGACAGAGAUUAGACGAGUGAUGCUUAACGAUUGAUUGCAAUGAAUUAAGUCCAAAUUGACUCGCCAGAUUUUUGGGUUGAAAUAGUUACACUAGUGUAAUAUGACAAUUUUGUUGUCAACCCACCCUUUGAAUGUCUUAAGCUAAAGUACUACUAAUUCCCUAGCUAAAAAAUUAAAAGAAAAGAAUGAAAUAAAUGGAUAGAGACUAUUUUUUCUAA